rnacentral:rRNA from 1 species
AGGUAGCGAAGUCCCUUGUCGGGUAAGUUCCGACCCGCACGAAUGGCGUAACGACUUGAACACUGUCUCAACGAUGGACUCGGUGAAAUUGCAGGACCCGUAAAGAUGCGGGUUACGCGCAGCAGGACAAAAAGACCCCGUGGAGCUUUACUGCAGCUUGACAUUGGUUCGAGCUUUAACCUGUGUAGGAUAGGCGGGAGACUAUGAAUUAGAUGCGCCAGCAUUUAAGGAGUCGCCCUUGAAAUACCGCCCUGAUUACAGUUUGAAUCUAACUUUUACUAGAACAGUGUCUGGUGGGCAGUUUGACUGGGGCGGUCGCCUCCCAAAGAGUAACGGAGGCGCACAAAGGUCACCUCAGGCUGGAUGGAAAUCAGCCUUAGAGCGUAUUGGUAUAAGGUGGCUUGACUGCGAGACAUACAAGUCGAGCAGGGACGAAAGUCGGUCAAAGUGAUCCCACGGUACCGUGUGGAAGGGCCGUGGCUUAACGGAUAAAAGCUACCCCGGGGAUAACAGGCUUAUCUCGCCCAAGAGUCCGUAUCGACGGCGAGGUUUGGCACCUCGAUGUCGGCUCGUCGCAUCCUGGGGCUGAAGAAGGUCCCAAGGGUCGGGCUGUCCGCCCGUUAAAGCGGCACGCGAGCUGGGUUCAGAGCGUCGUGAGACAGCUCGGUCUCUAUCCGCUGUGCGCGAAAGAUAUUUGAGGGGAUCUGUUUCUAGUACGAGAGGACCGAAAUGGACGAAUCUCUGGUGUGCCGGUUGUGACGCCAGUCGCAUUGCCGGGUAGCUACAUUCGGAAGGGAUAAACGCUGAAAGCAUCUAAGUGUGAAGCCCCCCCCAAGAUUAGAUAUCUCAUCUGUAAAAAGAGUAAGACCUCCGGUAGACUACCGGUUAGAUAGGCCACGUGUGUAAGCGCAGUAAUGUGUUCAGCUAAGUGGUACUAAUUGGUCGAGGGCUUGCCUCA